UUUUUUUUUUUUUUUUUUUUUUUUUUAGCUCAUCAGCUAUAGUUAGUAUUUAGUGUAUUUUAUGUGUGGCUCAGGACAAUUUUUCUUCCAGUGUGGUCCAGGGAAGCCAAAAAAUUGGACACUCCUGGCGUUUUGUUUGUUUGUUUGUUGUCGUUUUGACAGAGUCUCGCUCUGCUGCAUAGGCUUGAGUGCAUUGGUGCUGUCUCGGCUCACUGCAACUUCCACCUCCCAGGUUCAAGUGAUUCUCCUGCCUCAGCCUCCCAAGUAGCUGGGAUUACAGACUCCCACCAGCUGGCCUAGGCUGGAGUGCAGUGGUGCUAUCUUGGCUCACUGCAACUUCCGCCUCCCAGGUUCAAGUGAUUCUCCUGCCUCAGCCUCCCAAGUAGCUGGGAUUACAGGCGCCUGCCACCAUGCCUGGUUAAUUUUUUGUAUUUUUAUAGAGACGGGGUUUCACUGUGCUGCCCAGGCUGGUCUUGAACUCCUGAGCUCAAGCAACCCGCCCACCUUGGCCUCCCAAAGUACUGGGAUAACAGGUGUGAGCCACCACGCCCAGCCAGAAUGGUUUUGAACAUAUGGUGAGUGCUUGAUGACCACUUAAUCCUUGGUAGAUCAGUUAAUCUAUAAAAGUGUACUCAUGUUCUUUUCUUUUGUUUUCUUUGUUUCUAACUCACCUUUAAUUAACUUCAGCAUAUGACACUCAGGAUCCUAACAGCAAAGAUGUCUUUAAAGGUACAUGAUCCAUAUGUCCAUGUGUCUCAAGUCUUCCUUUUCUUGGGAUAUAUUUGCUGCUGUAUUAUCUAUCUAUCUAUCUAUCUAUCUAUCUGUCUGUCUGUCUGUCUGUCUGUCUGUCUGUCUGUCUAUCCAUCCAUCUAUCUAAUCUAUCAUCUAUCUAUCGAAUCUAUCUUACAAGGCAAAAAAUUUGUUUCUUUUGAGGGUUAACCAAGUACAUUACUUUUACUAUUUGUAUAAUAAAGUGCAGAUUUUCCUUAAUGGUAAAUUAUCCAUUUUAGAAAGGCUGGUGAGGAGGGCAGCAUGGGAUAAAUAAUUUCAUCAAUUUAAAUUUGAGGCCCUGGGAAAAGUCCGGAUGGAGAACAUUUUCUGGUAUGGGAACACAGCAUUUUUACUUGACUGUUACAGAGUCAGAAAAGCUCUGUGAAACUCUGUAAAGAGUCUGUGAAAGUCUGAGGGCAGGCAGGGAACUGAGAGGUGACUGGCCGUCCUCUGUUUGUUCCUGGUGAAGGCCGACAGUACACUGUCUGAAGGUGGCAGGACCUCACAUGAUUGGGCUGGCUCACUGCGUGGAGGUGGCUCAGCUCUGGCGAGUGACACAGUCAUUCAUGCCCAGUUCUUGAAUUUCAGCAUAUUUUGCUUCGGAAAAGACAAAAACCAAUUAUUGAUAGCUAUGCUCAGCUCAGAUAUGCAGUCUGUCUUAAUUAAAUGAUCUUUUCCAGCCAUAUUAUUUAGCUAGCAAAAGGUAACACUGAACUUGUUGACAUAAUUUCAGCAAAAAAAAAAAAAAAAAAAAAAAAAAGACAAACAGAACAAACCCAAGAAAUAGAUAUUUUCCCUGAAUUUCGUGUUUUUGGUUACCAACAUGGUUUUGACCCCUCCUUUAUCCUUUCUUCAGUCUUGCUCUCUCUUCCCAAGGCAUCCUUCUGUGAUCAUCCCUCCUCCGCUGGGUAUCACUAUUGGAGCAUGUUAUCACAGGAUUAAAGUUAGCUGUGACCUACCUCUCUGUCUUCCCCAAGAAAAUGUGUGUCCUGUGGGGCCUGAACCACAUGUGUGUGACUCAACCCUCUGUCCGGCACUGGAGCCAGCAAGUGCUCCAAAUAUAGGAAAUGCUCAGUAGAUACGGCCUGGAGUUUUGAAGUUGAACUAAACUAGACCUUGCCAGUGUCAAUUUAUAAUUAAACCAAGAUUUGGCCUC
ensembl:lncRNA